rnacentral:rRNA from 1 species
AGAGUUUGAUCCUGGCUCAGGACGAACGCUGGCGGCGUGCCUAACACAUGCAAGUCGAACGAAGCUUGAUGAACGAUUCUUCGGAUGAAUUCUGAUAUGACUGAGUGGCGGACGGGUGAGUAACGCGUGAGCAACCUGCCCUUCAGAGGGGGAUAGUGUCUGGAAACGGACAGUAAUACCGCAUAACGUACAUUGAUGGCAUCUUCGAUGUACCAAAGCUUUUGCGCUGAAGGAUGGGCUCGCGUCUGAUUAGAUAGUUGGUGGGGUAAUGGCCUACCAAGUCGACGAUCAGUAGCCGGACUGAGAGGUUGAACGGCCACAUUGGGACUGAGACACGGCCCAGACUCCUACGGGAGGCAGCAGUGGGGAAUAUUGCACAAUGGGCGCAAGCCUGAUGCAGCAACGCCGCGUGGAGGAAGACGGUUUUCGGAUUGUAAACUCCUGUUCUUAGUGAAGAAUAAUGACGGUAGCUAAGGAGCAAGCCACGGCUAACUACGUGCCAGCAGCCGCGGUAAUACGUAGGUGGCAAGCGUUGUCCGGAAUUACUGGGUGUAAAGGGAGCGCAGGCGGGGGAGCAAGUCAGCUGUGAAAUCCAUGGGCUUAACCCGUGAACUGCAGUUGAAACUGUUCUUCUUGAGUGAAGUAGAGGUUGGCGGAAUUCUGAGUGUAGCGGUGAAAUGCGUAGAUAUUCGGAGGAACACCGGUGGCGAAGGCGGCCAACUGGGCUUUUACUGACGCUGAGGCUCGAAAGUGUGGGGAGCAAACAGGAUUAGAUACCCUGGUAGUCCACACUGUAAACGAUGAUAACUAGGUGUAGGGGGUCUGACCCCUUCUGUGUCGCAGCUAACGCAAUAAGUUAUCCACCUGGGGAGUACGACCGCAAGGUUGAAACUCAAAGGAAUUGACGGGGACCCGCACAAGCAGUGGAUUAUGGGGUUUAAUUCGAAGCCACCCGAAGAACCUUACCCGCCCUUGGACUCCCACUUACCGAAAUAAGAGAUAUAUUAGGUGCCCUUCGGGGAAAGUUGAGACAGGUGGUGCAUGGUUGUCGUCAGCUCGUGUCGUGAGAUGUUGGGUUAAGUCCCGCAACGAGCGCAACCCCUGCCAUUAGUUGCUACGCAAGAGCACUCUAAUGGGACCGCUACCGACAAGGUGGAGGAAGGUGGGGAUGACGUCAAAUCAUCAUGCCCCUUAUGUGCUGGGCUACACACGUAAUACAAUGGUCGUUAACAAAGAGAAGCAAUACCGCGAGGUGGAGCAAAACUUCAAAAACGAUCUCAGUUCGGACUGCAGGCUGCAACUCGCCUGCACGAAGUUGGAAUUGCUAGUAAUCGUGGAUCAGCAUGCCACGGUGAAUACGUUCCCGGGUCUUGCACACACCGCCCGUC